UUUGAUCCUGGCUCAGAUUGAACGCUGGCGGCAUGCCUUACACAUGCAAGUCGAACGGUAACAGGUCUUCGGAUGCUGACGAGUGGCGAACGGGUGAGUAAUACAUCGGAACGUGCCCGAUCGUGGGGGAUAACGAAGCGAAAGCUUUGCUAAUACCGCAUACGAUCUACGGAUGAAAGCAGGGGACCGCAAGGCCUUGCGCGAACGGAGCGGCCGAUGGCAGAUUAGGUAGAACCAGUUGGUGGGAUCUUACCAAGCCGACGAUCUGUAGCUGGUCUGAGAGGACGACCAGCCACACUGGGACUGAGACACCGCCCAGACUCCUACGGGAGGCAGCAGUGGGGAAUUUUGGACAAUGGGCGAAUGCCUGAUCCAGCCAUGCCGCGUGCAGGAUGAAGGCCUUCGGGUUGUAAACUGCGGUUGUACGGAACGAAAAGACUCUGGUUAAUACCUGGGGUCCAUGACGGUACCGUAAGAAUAAGCACCGGCUAACUACGUGCCAGCAGCCGCGGUAAUACGUAGGGUGCAAGCGUUAAUCGGAAUUACUGGGCGUAAAGCGUGCGCAGGCGGUUAUAUAAGACAGAUGUGCCAAAUCCGGGCUCAACCUGGGAACUGCAUUUGUGACUGUAUAGCUAGAGUGCGGCAGAGGGGGAUGGAAUUCCGCGUGUAGCAGUGAAAUGCGUAGAUAUGCGGAGGAACACCGAUGGCGAAGGCAAUGGGCUCCCCCUGUACUGACGCUCAUGCACGAAAGCGUGGGGAGCAAACAGGAUUAGAUACCCUGGUAGUCCACGCCCUAAACGAUGUCAACUGGUUGUUGGGUCUUCACUGACUCAGUAACGAAGCUAACGCGUGAAGUUGACCGCCUGGGGAGUACGGCCGCAAGGUUGA
rnacentral:rRNA from 1 species